rnacentral:rRNA from 1 species
ACAGGCAGCUCAAGUGGUGGCCAUUUUUAUUGCGCCUAAAGCGUUCGUAGCCGGUUUGAUAAGUCUCUGGUGAAAUCCCGCAGCUUAACUGUGGGACUUGCUGGAGAUACUAUUAGACUUGAGGUCGGGAGAGGUUAGGGGUAGUCCCAGCGUUGUGAGGCAAACCUCCAUUAGCGUUAAGACACUGUGUGUCGAAAGCCGCAGUCUGCAACGAACCUGCCGGCGAGUAACUAAACACAGGGGCGCGCUCAG